rnacentral:tRNA from 1 species
UGGUCGGGAUAGCUCACUGGUAGAGCAGAGGACUG